CGACGCUGGCGGCGUGCCUAACACAUGCAAGUCAACUUGACUGAAGGAGCAAUCUGACAGUAGAGUGGCGCAAGGGUGCGUAACGCGUAAGUAACUUGCCCCAAGGUAAGGAAUAACGUCGAGAAAUCGGCGCUAAUACCUCAUAAUGCAGCGGAUCCGCAUGGAUAUGUUGUUAAAGGUUUACCGCCUUGGGAUAGGCUUGCGUCUGAUUAGCUAGUUGGUGUGGUAACGGCACACCAAGGCUACGAUCAGUAACUGGUCUGAGAGGAUGAUCAGUCACACUGGAACUGAGACACGGUCCAGACUCCUACGGGAGGCAGCAGUGAGGAAUAUUGGGCAAUGCUCGAAAGAGUGACCCAGCAACGCCGCGUGGAGGAUGAAGGUAUUCUAUAUCGUAAACCCUGUGAGAGCAGACGAAAGACAGAUUAUUAAUCUGGAUGACUGUAUGCUCAGAGGAAGCCCGGCUAACUACGUG
rnacentral:rRNA from 1 species